AACGAACGCUGGCGGCGUGCUUAACACAUGCAAGUCGAACGGGGUCAAGGGGCUUGCUCCUUGACUUAGUGGCGCACGGGUGAGUAACGCGUGGAUAAUCUACCCGAUACUCUGGGAUAACAUCUCGAAAGGGGUGCUAAUACCGGAUAAGCCCACGGGGACUGCGGUCCUUGCGGGAAAAGGUGGGGACCUUCGGGCCUGCCGAUAUCGGAUGAGUCCGCGUCCCAUUAGCUAGUUGGCGGGGUAAAGGCCCACCAAGGCGACGAUGGGUAGCUGGUCUGAGAGGAUGAUCAGCCACACUGGAACUGAGACACGGUCCAGACUCCUACGGGAGGCAGCAGUGGGGAAUUUUGCGCAAUGGGGGAAACCCUGACGCAGCAACGCCGCGUGAGUGAUGAAGGCCUUUGGGUCGUAAAGCUCUGUCAGAGGGAACGAAGUGUAGGGGGUUAAUAGCCUUUCUAUUUGACGGUACCCUCAAAGGAAGCACCGGCUAACUCCGUGCCAGCAGCCGCGGUAAAAC
rnacentral:rRNA from 1 species